CUGGAGGAGGAGGUACCUGCGGUGGAGGUACUGCAGGUGGCAAUGCUGGUGGUGAAACAAUGGGGGCUGGCGGUGGCAAUGCUGGUGGUUGUGUUGGACUCGAGACAGGUGAACUUUGUGGUGGCUGUGGUGGAGGGGAUUGAGGUGGUGGUGUUUGUGGUGGGGGAGAUUGAGGUGGUGGUGUGACAGGGCUCGAGGCUGGUGGCAGUUUAGGUGAUGGUGAUGUUGUAGGAGGAUUAGAUGGAGCUGCCGAAGUCACAGGUGGCUGCGUCGUGGCUGCAGGUGGGUUAGAAGGUGGAGGUGUAGUGGUUGGAACAUUAGAAGGAGAAGCUGCAGGUGCUUGUGCGUUGGCUAAGGCUAGAAAAACAGCAAAAGAUGCUGAGAGGAAAAGCCACGGAGAUGUGGCCAUUUUGUGUUGUUUGGACUGAUUGACAAAUUGGAUCUUAUAUAUACAAGUAUGCAGUUCCAGACACCCUUGGAGUAAAGGGUUGGUAAUUUGGAGGGAGAAAUGUAGUUUUCCUGUGAGUGCUACAGCUCCCCUAUUGAUUGUCAAGUUAGAUCAGUUGGGAAGGCUAAUGAUAGAAUGGCAUAAAUUUGGGCUUCGUAAAAUGGCAAUCAUGCGUUGACAUAUGCUUCUAGAUAUUGAAAAAAAGAGUGGUAGAUUCUUGCUUUCAGAAUGUCUCCUGAGUUCAUAUCUGAGAUUCUACGAUCUGUCAACCCUCCAUUUUAGUCUAUUUUUAACUGCUGAUAAUUUUGUCACUAAAAAAGAAAAGCAAGAGAAAGGGGGGAAAUAAUUACUGACAUCUUCUGUACUAAGAUGUGAGAACAACAAAGAUUAUGAAAGCUUAACCUUGAGGUUGAUGCAGAAAAUCCUUAACCACUAUUUAUUAUCAUCAACAAAGCAUGUGGUGUAUUAGAGGCAGUUGAUUAAUGGUAGGUUAUGUAAAGAUUAUGGUGCCAGCGUUGUGCCAACAAAGACUGCUUACCAUCCUUGGACCACCCACUGCUAAUCGGUAACAGAAUUCAUGAUUAGAACAUGAGAACUGAACUUGGUUAUGGAGUCUUUAUCAAAUUCAAGAAUAGCCAUUCAAGCUACCAUCUUUACAGCAUUUCUUGAUCUUUUUUCCCUGUUGUGCGUAGCCACUAAUCUUCCCACAGCAGGAGUUUUAAGCCUCUUGCUUUGAAUUGAUGCACCGAACUUCUAACAAAUCCAACACUUUAUUUCAUCACUUACUCUUUAAGCUAACAACCUUUUGCUCCUGAAUCUAAACUUGAAACUAGGUUUACACGAUCUCUGGACAACUUUCUUUGAAACGAAAUCUAAAACAUGUUCAGUUAGAACCUAAGCUAAUGUUACCUCAGAGAGAACACAUUUGUGAUUUGCUUCUUAUAAAUGGAGUAAACAACUAGUAUCUGUAGGCUUACAACCGCAAAAACGAAAUUGUUUGUAGCAAGAAGCCAAUUAAAAUAGCUAAAUAACCCUCAAGUUUACUUCAAAAUAAAAAAAAAUGUCAGUAAAUUAAAUUAUUAACCAUUUCUAAUGCCUGACACCUUGACGUUCUAGAACCCCUUGUUUUCAUGUCACAUCUUAUUGUUGAAUGAUUUUUACCAGCAAGUCAUUCGUGUCCAGUAAGAUGGAAAUGACUGUGUUUAAACUUGUGUGAAAGCUCAUUUUCUCAAAUUAAGUUCCAACCAUCACACCGACAGCUUCUUCGUGUUGAGGAUUUUGUACUAGGGUUCAAACUUAACAUGACUUGUUAACGGACUUUCAUCACAAUGCAUACAAAAGAAGAUUGUUUGGGGAUCUUCAAUUCAAAACUUAAAGGUUCAUAAGUUUCUAAAAAGCUUUAUCACAGAGGAAGGGAUGUAUUAAGUUGCUAAAAGAGCUUCAUCACAUAACACUUCCGUGGAAGACAAAUAAGAAAGUUUAGUUGGUGCAGUGACAUCAUGUCUCUGUACAACAAUGUGAUUCCCAGAAGCCAAGGCGCUACAACAUUGUGACUACCAGACACUAUGGACGCCCUUAGAAAAUUUUCUCCAAAAAAGGGUUCCUACAUCCCCUUUCUCAUCUUUCCUUUGUAGAAACAUGAGAAUGAACACAAAGUUGGAUUUUUUGACAGCUUAACUUCUAAGACUUUAUUUUACAGCAUCCAUAAUGAGUCACACCAUCUGAUCAAUUACAAGCAGAACAUAAGAUGGAACGCAUCAUGAAUCUUGGUCAAAAACCUUGACGGGUGAUGGUGUGAAAUGGGCAAACACGAAGGUGGGGUGGUUGUUUCUGAUUUAUUGUCCUUCUUUCUCCUCAGUUGAAAGAAAUGCUGCAUUGUGUCAGCACAUUCUGCUGCCAGUACUCCACGUCGAACUACUAUUUUCGGGUGAAAGGGAUGAACAGGAGCAGGAGGCUUAUCUGAUAACUCCAAUCCACUUCCUCCCUCACCAUUUGGGAAAAGCCUGCAGAUUAUUGAUGAAAGAUCAUACAAGGAAAGAAAAAAGGGAUGUCCAAACAAAGUACUCCAUAGUAAUUAUCGAGAAAGGUAUGCAGACAGGAGAAUUAAGUUCCUAUUGCACCAAUGGAAAAGAACUAUGAAAUUUCUUCGAGCACAAUCUAGAGAAAAUAUAUGAUAUUGCUUACCUAAUCCAGCUCCCAUCAGCUCCUAGAAGCUUAUUAGGAGCUCCCCAAACGACGGUGUCAAUUCUAGCUUGAAGUAUUGCUCCGGCACACAUGGGGCAUGGUUCAAGGGUAACAUACAGUGUCGUUUCCUACAAACAAAGAAAUUUGAAUAACGAAUGGCAUUGCUCGACUACUUGCAGAGAAUCAAGGUGCAUGUAGUGCUAGAGAUAAACCAACUAAAGUGUUCCUUUAACACAAAUUGAAAACUUCAACCACAAAGUGACUAACACAACUAUCACAACUGCAUAAAUGGCAGUCUAAACACAAAAAUCAGAGGCCCACCUUUUUACCAUUCUAUAACUCUAGUUAGAAGUCAAUAACAGGGUGAUGUUUAUAAUUUAUGAAAAGUCAAAAUCUUGGCUUGCUUCACUGAGUAGGAAUAUAUAACGAAAUCACAGUAAUAAGAAACAAAUAAGUAGAUGGAUUAGAAGACAUAGUAUGAUAUUCUUUGAUAAACAUGCAGAACUCAUGGAAAACCAAACUAGUGCAAACAUGCAUUCAAGUUGGAUUAUAUAGUAGUUCGUUGCAGUAGUAAUGAAAAGCACUUCCUCCAGAGAAUACACGAAGUUUUGCUUGAGUGGAUGGCCUAGUUGCUCAAUUCUUUGUGCCAGUAACAGGCAGCUGAAUGAUUCUUAUCAAAUACAGGUAGGAAAUACAAGCUCAUAAAUAGGUCUACGCAUGAUCAUUACACUUUGUCCUGUUCAAAAACUGAGGAUAGAGUUUGUAAGGUUUAAAGGACCUAAUACUCACUCAAUUGCAGGAGAAGCAGGAUUUCUGUGUGAAGGAGCAAAAAUCCAAUUUAACUUCCCCUCCUGUUUCAGACUUCUCAAAAAAACACCAAACUCAAGGUUUAGAUGUCUCCUCUUUUCUUCUAAAUUUUCAACCCAACCAUGUGCUCCAAUUGAUUUUAUUACAGUUAUAUUUUAACUUGAAACGGACAAGCAAGAGAAAACUAUAUUACUGGGACUUGGGUACAGGAGUACAGUGAAUACAGGCACUCCAGUUUAAAAGUGAAGAGUCCAACAGAGGUACAAGUAAAGAGUCACAUUACAUAGGGAGAAAAUAUAAAGGUAAUAUAUGUUGGUCCCCUUUCAAAUUACACUUUGGCAUUUAGAAAUAGUAAACACAUUCUUAUAUGGAAAAAUACAACUUCUAUGCGGAACCCAUAAUCCACAGCUCAGAUUGCACCAAAAUCAUCCAAAAUUAGUUAAGUGACAUGCAUAUACUUUUUAAGGUCCUCCAAAAGUUAAUGCAACUAUAACACAUUUUGCAAUACUAAUAGUCUAUGUUCUAUUGUAUCUAUAAACUCACCAUGCUUCUCAUAUAGGCAUUACAAACAUAUAAUUUCACAAUUUACUAACGAUCUAUGAAGUUCCAAAGUCAUCUGAAAAGGGUCCUUUUGAGAAUACAAUUGAACCAUAAGAAGUAGAAAAAGCUUACCGAGAGUCUCCAUGUCCGAAGUAAGUUUGAUGCCUCCCGUAUGCAAUUUAUUUCCGCAUGAGCAGUGGAGUCACGCAACUCUUCUACUCUGAAAUAUCAUAUGAAUUACCUCAAAUAACUGCUUCCAAUAAUUUUUAAAAAAAUGUAAAAAUGACAAACAAACUACAACUUACAGGUUAUAUCCACGAGCAAUUAUCUUCCCAUCUCUCACCAGCACAGCACCAACAGGCACCUCCCAACUGUCAGCAGCUUUUUUUGCUUCUAACAGUGCUUCCCUCAUGAACAUUUCAUCAACCCUUCUUUGCUCCAUUUCAAGCCUAUAUGCUGCCUCCCAUUCAUCAAACCUGUCUUUUACAACUUGAUCACUCCUUCCAAGUUUCCGUCUUUCCAAUUCCUCGUUCUUGCUCACAGACCUAGGAUUUUCUGUCAGAGUAGUUGGAACUGGUGUAUCAAUCUGUACAACUGUGCCACUGCCUGAUCCUUCAGCUUUCCUAGAUGCUGAGUUUUCUCCUACAACAGGCGAUCUUCUAAGCUGCAAGGAAGGCAGUGUAACUGAUGAUUCUGCUGCUCUGCUUUCAGGAAAUGAAGCUUCAGACUUCCUCUCAGAAGUUGUUUCACCAGUACGAAAAGAAUUCCUUUGAAUGGAUGAAUCUCUUUGCAAGACGCUUGAUGAGGACAAGGAUCCUCCUCCUGUCUGCUUCAUCUCACCUUUUGAACUUGAUAAGCUGGAAACCUGCCCUUGACUUUGAGAACAAUCUUUUUCGUCUUGCUGCUGGUUGACAGAAGUUGAUUCUUCUGUUAAGAUUACCCUAUCUCCUUUUGUCUCCACAUGAACAUUUUCAUCAGGGUCAUGGCCAGAAAACCAUGUUUCACUACUCAUAGAUUGAUUUGGGGAACUCUUUCCACCUGAUUUUGCCGUUGAACCAUGUUCAGAACGUGAAGCCCAGCGCAAGCGAACUAUAUCUCCAAUGAUGUUCCACAAAGACCUGCCAGUUCUCUUGACGACGGUGGUCCCAUUAUUGUUUUCAGUCUUUAUUCUUCCUGUUUCAAGAUGUUCCUGCAUAGAUGGUUCAGCUACAUCCCAACUUUCAUCUGAAGGGCCUUUGAUUCCAGAACUCUGAGAUAAACUCCUAGAGUCCUGUUCCCUUGAUUGAGAAACUCUAGAGCUGUAUGAAUUAAGACUAUCCUUUUCCUCAUGCACCAAUUUUGUUUCAUACGUUUUCUUCACAUCACUGGGUUCAGAGGUAGAAAUCUCAUUCCUCACCUUCUGAACAUACUCUUCAAUAUAAUGAGCAGAAGAUUUUUGUAAUCGAUCAGCUGAUCCAAGUGCAUCUUCAUGUGACAAAAAUUUCUGAGGCUCCCCCUGGGCCUGAUCGCCUGUAGUGUGACUUUGUUCAUGUAAUACAGUAAAGCCAUCAGCACUUUGUUCAGUUGCUGAUCCACUUGCUGAUUCACCAUGAACUGAAACUCUGACUAGUAACUGAGAAGGAGGUUCUGUUACUAUACUGGUUCUUUCAUUAUCAGCAGCCACAUCAGAUACACCAUUUUUACUUUUUGUAGUCAUCUCUAAGCGUUCUCUCAAUCCAAGAUCUGACUUAUGAAUAGAGCUCGAUUUUGCUUCGUGUUUUUCCAUGCUAUGUUGAGUUUCCUUCUUUGAAACUGAAGUACUUUCUGAAUGCACAUUUUGAGUCACUUGGUUAUACUUUUCGUUCGAGUCCAGCAAUCUGCUGCUCUGGCUAGCAUGGCGAUAUUGCUCUUCUCUGUUGUUUACAGAAUUCAGGUCCAUACUUGAAUAAUCUUCCUGCUUCUUCAUUCUAAUAUCAGAUUGUCUCACUGCACUAGACGUCCCUCUAACGUCCAUUUCUUGAAUUUUUGAUACUUCAGUGAGUUUGCUCGAGUUCCUCCUAUAUUCAUCUUCCCUGCUUAGGUGACCAGCUGCAAUAUGAUGGUCGCUUUCUUUUCUCUCAGAACUCAUGGAUUUCGAAGAACUUUCAUUCCUACCAUGAUAGAGCUUAUGGAAUGCAGAAGAAGUUUCUGUAUCAGCAACAUGAGCCUUGGACAUCUCUGUGAAUUGUUUAGAUUUCAUUCUUGUUUCGCUGUCAUGUGUUUGCCCGUGCUGCUCUCUGGUUUCCCUAUCAAAUUUCACCGCCAAGUUCAAUUUUUUGUUCUUAUCAUCAAACCUCGCACUUUCUCCAUAAGCACUUUGUUCGAUCUCUCUAUACCUUGAUUGCUUGUCUGCAAGUUCCUUGCUCAAUUCGGUUUCUUCCAUGGAGGCAUCAGUAAGCCUCUUCUCUGAUUUUUUUCUCCACUCGCCCUCAACAGCAGAUGAUGCUCCAGAAAAAACCACUUGAGUAUUUUCUUUUCUCAACACAUCCCCUUGUUUCUUUGAAUAAUCCCCGUGCCUAUGAUACUCUUCCUGAACUUCAUCAGACACAACUCCUUCAUUCCUUCUCGAGUCUCUCAUGUAUCCUCUUGAUAAUUCUCCCUCACACUCCUCCUGCUCAUGCUGAGCUUCAUUAUCAAUCUCAAAAUCACCCGAAGAAAAUGAGUAAUAAGACGAACAACUUGAUCCAUUUUUCCUGACCCUUUGCCCAUGGUCCUGUCUUCUGGACAAAUCUUCCCCCUCUUCAACCCUCACCCUUUCUCUCCAAUUUUCCCUCAAAUGUUUCUCCCUUUCUUCCUCUCUCACUUUUUCUUCUCUCAACAAACUGUCCUUCUUAUCCUCCUUAGCCCUCAUUCUAGCCCUCAUUCUAACAUUCUCCCUUCUCAGUAGGAUGGCCCUCUCUUUUUCUCUCCUAUCAUCCUCUUUCAGCCCCAUUUCCCGCUCCUUCGACCUAAUCACCUUCUCUUCAUACUCAAACUUAGAUUGACUCUCCAAAACACCCAAAUCACCAUUUUUCGUCCGUCUCCUCAGAUUAUUCUUCCGGCCAUUCCCUCUCUUCUCCACUUUAACCCUAGACGACUUCCUGCUUCCCUUCCUAAUACUAUAGCACUCGUCACUAACAUCCUCAGCCAACAAAUUAAGCAUAAUCUCAACCUCAUCAAUUCCAUUACUAUCAUCACAAAAAUCACUCCAUUCACUCUUUUCCUCAAAAACCAUCCUCCUAAUCCCCCCUUUUCCCAAAUUCCUCCCCUUCAAAAUGUAAUCUUUCUCACAGUAACAGCUUCUUCCAACAUCAAAAGGACAUCUACUACUAGUGAACCGGUCUAAACCAUUCAAGAUCAGUUUUUUACAGGGUGACCAUUGAAUCAAAUUAGACUGCCUUAAACCAUAUAAAAAGCUAGGACUAGAAAUGGGAAAUCUGCUAUACAGCGAAUUUCCACAACAAGAACAACAUGAUGAUGAUGAAUACAAUAACGGGUUUCGAUCAAUUCUAUCAUUUAAGCAGCAAGAAUAGUCAUUGAAGGAAAAUGAAAAUGGCCCUUUACACCUUAGUUGGAAACUUGAGCUUAUAUAAGUGUUCUGCAUUGCUUCCAGUGUGUGUUGUGCGUGUGGAGGGAGGGAUGGAGGGAAGGACAGAGUUACCUGGAGAUGAGAUGGGAAGUGGGUUUUGACAGAAUCUUUCUCGGAUUCGUUAAGCUGGAGUAGCAGUCGAGUAAAAGAUUAGAACACAUGUGAUGAUGAGCCUGCUUUGGAUCUUUUUACCAAAGUCUUAGACUUUUACGGUAGUAAACUAACCUUACAUCCACAGGAAACCACAAAAGCCGGUAACUUAUGUGCUUUGGAUCAGAUUGGGGAAAAUUCAGCACUUCGUUUUUUAUUUCUAUUUUUAGUUUUCCCCCUUUAUUUUUUUCCCCUGUGGGUUCCUUUUUUGCUCAUCGAAAAUCAAAUUGCACUAUUGUAGUGCUACUCAAUUGAGUCGAGUUAAAUUGAACUGAGGUAAGACUUUAUCAUUUCCUUCUACGGCUUAAAUGUUAAAUCCGGGUGGUAUAAUAAAAUUUGCGGGUUCCUGCCAUCAAAAAACUGAAAUGAAAAUUUUGCCUGAUUUUUUUUCUAUUUUUGGUCCCUUUCCAGCAUUCAUAAUCCCAUACUAUUUUGAUUAGGGUUGAAGAUGAUGCCCGUGAGGAUAAAAUAUCACCAGCUUAGUUGUUUAAUUUCUUUUGUAUUAAAAUAAAUCGGCUAGUGGUACUUUAUUAUUGAUUAGCAUUGCAAUAGCAUAAUUAAAACUAAAAGCUUAAUCUAGUGAAGGCCUUGUUCUCGUUGGCUUUAGAUUUUACCAAAUGUGAUUUUAGAAAUUAGGUAGGGAGAAUAAUUGUUUUUUGUGUGAUUAUAGAUUUUAUCUUUUUUUAGUCAUUAAAAAUAAUAUAUAAUCAAGUAAUAUAAAAGCAAUCAAAAAUAAGUUAUCAGAAUCUAUAAUUAAUUAAAAUAAUCUUCUUCAUUUUUUUUAGUGUAAGCAGGAGGACUGGAACCGAGACCUCUUGCUUACACGUCCCUCGCUCCGUACCAUCCAAACAAAAACGAGAAUCUAUAAUUAAUUAAAAUAAUCAAACGAGAUCGAGCCCUUAAUAUCUUAUUUCCUUGAUAUCGUUUGCUCAAGAAUUUUCCUUAGGCAUGGAAUGGGUCAUGGUUACCUCAAUCAUCCGUGCAAAAUGUUACACUAGGCCCAGUACGAAGCAAUCUCGUUUGCCCGGAAUAAGAGUUAGGUCAGACAUUUUUACUUAAAAGCCCAAGAUCAUUCCACACAAACAUUUAUUGGGCUUUCCAAAAUCACUAAUUACAAUUUAUUGAUUAUACCGUAAGUUAGUCAUUAAAAUAAGAAUUAAUCUUUUCUUCUACUGUCAAUGUUAUACUAGCAAUUUUGAAUUGGAGUUCAAAUUCAAAUUUGAAUAACAUGUCGUGAAUCAAAAUCUGUUAAUAUAUGCUAUCAAUCUAAAAAGAUGAAUAACAACGUUAUGCAUCAAAACCCGCUAAUAUACACUGUCAGUCUAAAAGAUGAAUCCUCGAGAUAAACAUGUUUUCAGCGUUUUAAGUAUUUGUCCCCUCAACAUCUAGUUGCAUGAAAUGGCAUUCACUAUCACUACUCAUAAAAAUGUCUCAAUUAACGAAGGGGACAUGUCUGGGUCAGCCCGUUGUCCUGGCCGCCCAAAUUCUUCUACAAACUAGUAGUAUAUAAUUUUGGGAGAAAUUUACUUUGAGGACGAAAAUUUAACAUUAUAAUUGUUUUGCCUCAAAAAGUUACAUCAACAGCCACAUUAUGCCAUGUAUAUAUUUUUUUUAUUUCAAACAAAGAGAAAUACCUAAUUCUCUAAUAAUUCACACGAUGCUGAAAUUGUUUUAUAAACACAAAGUUGGAUCCAUAUUUAUAGCUCAAAGUUUUGGGAAGUGUAUUUGCAUAUUCGAAUUUAUUUAAAUGUUACAUAAGCUAUAUGCCUACUGGAUUUAUGUAUUUUUGAGAUUAUUACAAGGUUUGCCUAGCUAGCUUGUCCUUUCAUGCUUCUUCCUAUAGAUGAACAACAAAAUAAACAUUUUAGAGAUAUAAAACGAUAAAAAAAAUUAUUACAAGAAUUCUUAAAAGGAUCUUUGAUUUACUGCAUAAGUAACUUGGUAAACACAUUAAUCCAUUUGUUCUCCUCUAGGUUUGGAGUCUAUCCUUGUCCAAAAAAUUGAAAAAAAUAAAUGAAAAAGGGAAUAUGGAUGCCCUAAAGAAGAAUCAACAGGAUAUUGACAUUGGUUUUCCAGCAGUAUACAAGCCCCAAAUUGACAGACCAAAGCAAAUGAUUCUCAAGGCAUGAUAUGAUGCCUUCUUAAUAUAACAACAAACAUAAGAAAUGUCCAAAAGCCCAUUGGAAGUUGUUAAACUAAGCCUGCAAAAUGCACAACAUUGUAGCAGAAGUACAGGUUCUUUAUCAAAUUACCACACGGCUUUUGCCUUUUGUUUUCUAGUCAUAAGCAACAAACAACAAUGGUGGUCUUAUUAAUGUUGCCGGCGUUAUAUCCACCCAGAGAUUGCUAGGGGGAGGAGACAGAUUAUGAUAUAAUCAAAUUCCUGCACUUGUGCUUCUGCCCUUAAAAAAAAAAAACACAGAAGAAAAAUGCUAGCUGUAGCUAGGCCUGCAAUUUGGCAUCUAAAGCCAUAUAAUAUAUCCAACCAACAUUUUGUCUUAUCAAUGGCAAAUUGGCAAUGCGACAUCCAUUUUAUUUUUUUAUUUUUAUUGCCGAAUUGCAGGCCAUUUUUCUAAUGGCAAACUGGCUGCCAAAUGAAAUGGGACAAAUUUCAGUCUAAAUAUUCAAUACCCUUGUCAGAACCUAAUGAAUGCCGUCAGAGAAACAAAAAAUUGUUUGUUGCAGAAAUGUACUUUGAGAAGGGUAGUAUAUACAGAUACGUACAUGUUCUCUGAGUCGUGGAAUCUAAGGAUACCCGUCCCAAUGCGCAAGUGCAUUCUGUCAGUCUCUUGUCUUUUAUUUUUUAUUUUAUUUUUUUGGUUACUUUUUUGGAGUUUUCAGGCUAGGAGAAACUUGCAAACUUUCAAAAAACUUGUCUUUUUAGUGGUUAUUACCAUCCAUCCAUUCACUCUAUAAUCUCCAUUGUCAUAUUGGUUUAUAUAGUAGUCCCUCCUCCCACUUUGAUAGUCCUGUUUCUUUUUUCACACAGUUUAAGAAAAAGUAGUUAAUUUUGUUGGAAAAGUAAAUUUAGAUUGCUAUUUUUCUAAAAUACUCUCACAUUAAAUAGAGUACAAUUUUAUGGGAACUUGAAUUGAUGGUAAAAAAAGAAUCAACUCUCAUUAAAUAGGGUAGGUUUAUAGUAACAACAACUUAUAUUAAAUAAGGGUAUUUUAGAAAAGUUAAAAUACAACUACAUUCUUCAAUUGGAAAGUGGACUACAAUUUGGGACAGACGAAAAGAGAAAACAGGACUAUCAAAGUGGGACGAAGGGAGUAUUAUGCAUUUAUUUAUUUAUAACGAGUAAUUGCUAAAUUUGCAGUAAGACUGGGUUACUUGCGAGACAAAUAAACAACAUAAAGUUUCCUUAGUCAUUUAUUUUCGACUUAGUCCCUCAUCAAUCAAUGACUAUGUCACAAAUUCGGUAAAUAGAAAUAGUCAAGAAACGCAACUGUUUUUGAACGAGAAGCUUAUUAGUUUAGGUCAUCUUUUGUGUGCCCUUUAAUGUAUAGUGUGUACAUCUCCACUCUUGAACACGGAUUUUACUUUUAAUAUACUACAAUUCAAAUUAAGUAAGAGCAUCUAGAAUGAAAAAUUUGUCUACUGAUAUCUUGCGCACCAUUCUAGAUGAAACAUUUACUAAUUCCAUUGGUGGAUUGGUCCUUCGCAGUAAGCCACAAUAUGCAGCAUCCUCCAUCGAUUUCUUUGUUAAAUUUUUGAGAGGUUGAAUUAGCCAAUUUACGUUAAGUGCUACUAUAAUAUAGUUUAGCUAUCUCCUAUAUCGUAAAACUAUUCUAAUUUUUUUUCCAAAAAAAAAAAAAGUCAAGGUAUUAAUCCUUGGAUCUAGACGCAGUUAUUUCUCCUUCAGUCCAUUGUCUCAAUUUUAGUAAAGGAAAGUUAUUCUGGAAUCUCCUUGCCAUUGCGAGGAAAAAAAAGAAACAGAAGCUGGAAAUGGCUCCGAAAGUCCAAUAUUGGGAUCAGCGUUAUAUAUAGGUAUACACUUCUACCCGGGGAUUGGAUUGGUCAAGCGAUCAACAGUCGACUAAUUCAGCGACAUCGUGUGGUGGCCGUAGCAUAUUAUAAAGUGACGCAGCUGCAGGAAAAUAAUGGUGUUGUGAGAAGAAUUGACUUAAAAAUUACGGAAGUCAACUCCAAUGCGCUUGACCUUACAUCGAGUAUUGACUUCAAAGACUUUUCAGAACUUUCUAGGAACGAAGAACUCGCCACAAGUACAAUAUAGUAUGAUUAAUUAGCUUGUAGAGCCUCAAAUUUGAUGAAUUAAUUCGAAAUUCCAAAGAAAAAGAGAAAUAAAUACUCCCUCCGUCCUAUUGAAAGUGUCAUAUUUUUUAUUUUGGAAUAUCCCAAAACAUUUAUCAUGUUAAAAAAGUCAAAACACCUUUUAAUGUUUCUUUCCAAUAUAACCCUUCUUCUAAUCAUAUGCAUGCUAUCAUUCAAAUUUAAAAUUUCAAUUUGUAAAGAUAAAGUUGGAAAGAAAAAUACAAACAUCACAAUCAAACUACUAUUUUUAAAAAGUUGAAUUUUCCAAAUAUGACUAAAUAAUUCGGACAGAGGAAGUAGCACGUCGUAUAGAUCCAUUCUUGAAAAUUCAUAUCCAAUAUUCGAUUCUUGAAUUGAUAGUAAGAAGAAUUUAAGGAGAAACUCUUCUCACUCUACAUUAAAUUGUUUUUUCUAUGGCUGUAAUUUUCAAGAUUUGAUUGAGGUAUGAAAGGCCAAAGGUUUCAUAUUGGAAAGCAUUAUUGAUUAAUGCAAGUAUGACACGAAAACGGUAAUAGAUUCAUGGAAUAGAGCUGCAUAGGAAAUGACGAUGAAACUUCUGCUGAGCUUCUUCCAAAAUGCCAAUUGUUAAUUUACCAAGGAAAUGGGAUUUCCAUGAAGAAGGGAUGACCCAAUGCUUGAACCGUGCUUAAACGAUUGCACGAUUGAUGUAACAUGGAAGAGGUUACAUCAUUGAUGGCGGUACGUUUCAACUACCCCAGACACCAGAUUUUGAUUAUCGACGCAUGCCAAUUACCAAGGCUUGUUCUUUUCUUAAAAAAAAAAAAAUCUACCAUUAUUUAAUUAAGUACUAGAAGAAUUGUGGGACAAAGGCUAUACAAAGAGGCCACACACCCCUUUUGAUGUGCUCUUGUACUAUUGAUUAGAAUAAAAAGCUGAUUCGUAAUAUCAAUGCAUCAUUGUCAUUAAGUACUUUCAAAUGAAUAGUACAGCCAACUUUUCAAGAAUCAAUAAUGUUCCUCCAAAUCAACUUGCUUAUUAGCGGAGGAUAAUGUUUAUUUGUCUGCUUCCAAGUUUUGUCCGAAGCUUGUGUUUGUGUGCUAAAUAUGGGUGAAAAAUGAGUUCACGGACGUUUAUAGUUUCAUUAUCCAAAGUUCGUUUCAUUAGUUCUGUCUUCUCCUAUCUUCUAGUACUGUUAACUACCUUCUCUUUUUUUUUUUUUUUUGUGGAAAUGAUUAUCAAUCAAGUUAAUGAUUUUCUCGGAAACAAAUUUAAUCAAUUAGAAGUUUAUAAUCUUUUAUGAGACUCGUCUCAGAAUCAAAAUUCCACAGUUGGGAGCAAAAUUUGGAAACAUGGCUCUCCUUCAAGGGAUAGCUUCUAGUUUACAUAAAAUGGUUUGGGGAGAAAACUUCAAAUCUUUUAACAAUUUGAUAGGUAUUUUUUUCAAGUAAAUCUUAUAUACACUGACAAUGUGUAUACUAUCAUGGUUGGAUACACAAUACAUAUGUAAAAUUUGAGUUUCAAAUUUAAAUUCGAAUUAUAUAUCAUGCAUCUAAUGGUGAAAGUGUAUACACUAUCAGUAUACAGAAAAUUAAUCCAUUUUCUUAUGAUAAGUUGAGUGUUAGGGAGCCAAAUAAGCCCGUUAAAAAAGAAAAUGGAUCAACUAUUAAUACUUGAAGAUUAUCACCCAUCCCCUGAAUUGGAAUAUUUUUGCACCAAAAAUUUAUUCUUUUGUUAAAUUUAUAACACUGACCCUACUUUUAUUCAGAGCACCAAAUAGAUAAACCGUGAUUGAUAUAUGUGGUUCAACUUAGACCUUUAUUUGUGGAGAGAGAUACAGAUAUUCUCAAAAUGGUGAACCCUCUAGGACCAUCAUUUGCUUGAAGUUUGGCGAGGUCAUGGUGGUCGAACUUCCUAGCAAAUUACUGAAAGAUGUAUGGCAAAAACUCCGAGAGGAAAAAGAAAAGAAGAUAGCAAAAGAGAGGAUAUUCAAAUAACCAUAUUGUCUUGUUAUUUUUGUAUUUUUCUGGGCUACUAAUUUAUUCGAUUUGUUGGUGUUAUGCAUGUGUACAGUGGGUACAAAUGACUAAAGAAUGAAUACUGAAUGGACCAACCUUUUCCAGCCAUUUUUAAUCUAAACAAGUAACUGCAAUACUUUAUCAACCACUGGUUCCCGUAUCCCUGUGGUGCUGAUAGACGUACGUAAUAACUUCCCUACAUGGAUUACAUUCAAUUUCCAUUUUUGCCUUAAAUGGAACUGAUGAUGGCUUCUCCUAGAUGAUUGAGUAAGCGAACAAUUGGACAUGUAUCAAAUUCCAAACUAAGAAAGGUAAGGCAAUCAAUUAUGUAAUACCUAAUUAUCAAGUUACCAAAAAUAGGGUUUUUUUUCUAACGGGUGUCCAUUGGAUACUCGUUAACGCACCUAAAUUUUAUUUAACAUACAGUGUGUACACAUAUUAAUAAUUAUUGUCUUCUUUUAUAUUUAUACGCUUUCUCUAAUUAAUCUUUAUCUUUGUAAAAAUUUAACGCCUGAAAUACAUCUUAAUCCAAUAAAGAUCAGUUAGACGGACCAAUAAUUACAUAUAAACAAUACACAGCGUCCUACGAGUUUUAGAUAAAUCGAAAUAAAUCACGUUGUUACUGUCUCCAAAAAGGAAGGAGGAGUUACGGAUAGAAAAGUAAAAAUGGAUGCAGCUUUCUUAAUUAAAAAGAAGGGUUUAAGGUGUUAAUUAUUUUGAGAAGAGGAUUAUUAAUAUGGGAAUGUACAAUAAAUGUGAGUUUGCACAUCUAAAUAUACUAACAAGUGCCUUUUAGGCACCAUGAAAAAAAAAUUCUUAAAAAAAAACCCUUAUUAAGAAGGUAAAUCAUAUCCUACCCUCCGAGAGCUCUAGACUUGCAAUUCCACAAUAUUGAUCAGUAGCAAUCAGGUGCCCCCGGGGUUAGAUCACCCGGUCUGCGGCUGGAAAACCACUCGCAAGGUCGUGGGAUCGAACCUCACCUAACGCCUGGGUACGGUUGGGGUGGUGCUGUACUCCAGGCGCAGGGGAUUAGUCGGGCCACCUUCGGGUCUUGACCCGGACACCCCUGUGUUGACCAAAAAAAAAUCAGUAGCAAUCAGGUUGGCCUAUGAUCGAUGCCCAGACAUUUAACUAACGACUUACAUUUCUCAUCUUUCUGGUACACACUACACAGGGACUUAAAUCAACCAAACAUCACUUGUCAUGGCUCCCUCAAUUUAGUGCGGGCGGUAGCGGCUGGCGAAGUAAGCUGCUGAAAUAGACGAGCAGGAGCAUUAUUUAGAACCAUUACCCCACGCGGCGGAUUUGUUUGUUUGAUUGUUUCACUAGUGCGUGGAAUAUUCCAAAGGGUACAAUUAUUCAGGAGGACCAAGACUAAAUAAACGAUCCCUCUUGUCAUCAGCCAAGAAAAAAUAAGUACUUCAUUUUGUCUACAAUCUUUCAAGGUUUUGGACGCUUUCUUUUCUGCAUGGAUAUUCCUAGUUAACUUCGCUAGCUGUUAAAGCGACUCGUAUUGGUGCCUGUUACAUCUUUGUUUACUAUCGGAAAGUGCUGUCACUUGUCACGUUUAUGGGGAGAUUAUCUUUAGCUGAAGGAUAAGAUUUGAGUAACAACGGCUGUUAAAUUUUGAAGAUUUUCAUGUCAUGAUUUUCUAUUGCAUCAUCGUGUUUUCAGUCUCUGGAAUGGAAUUUUUUACGAUUCAAAUUUUUUUCUCUCCUUUCCCAUUGCUUGUUUCUAAAAUUCCACCUCUCCCUGUUAGAAUUUUUUUUUUUUUUUUUUAAAAGUACUCCCUGUACCAUCCAGUUGCCUGUUUUUUGGUACAAGGGGACCCAAUAUAAGUGAAAGUUUCCGGCAUGAAACUUCCUGUUAAUUUCUCAUAUCUUGUAAACCUCCGCUUUGUCGAACAUGACAUAUAUAUACAGACAGUUGAUCUGGUCCAUACUAAAACCUCAACCUCCAACUAGUUUAGAUAGUAGUAUUAGACUCGUACAAACGCUCGUGCAACACGAGCAGAAAACCUCAUCCACAAUUAUCAAUGCAUAAAGCUAAGUAGUCCUUUCUUUGUUAUGUGAAACUCGAAAGAGCUUCCAAUGGAAAGUAAACAACAACAACGAAAGGAAUGUUUCAAAGAUAAAAAGGGAGAUGAGGAAACCACACAGCUUUUGUCUCAAAGUUCAUUGAAAUGUCUUUUCCUAAAGACCAUCUUAAAUCGAGUGGUUCAAGUUUCUCUCUUUAAUCAAAAUCUGUAGUCCGAAAUUUUUACCAACUUGUUCAGAGUAAUAUAAGAAAUUGACAAAUAUUUUUUAUCCAAUGCCUAAAUUGUUGAGCACAGAUGUCGCUUUUACUAGCUAGGAGUACAAUUGAAUUUUACCUGUUUCUUUGAACUCAUUAGACCAGUAGCAUCUGUUUUCCCAUUGUUUUAGGUUUGGUUUGGAAUAUUAAAUGUUGUGCAACGCAAAUUCAAUCUUAACAUCACAUUAGAUGCAAAUGCAGUUAGUGGUUUAGGUGGCUUGUUGGGAAAUAGUGGGCACUUGGAUGUGGUAUGUUUUGUCAAAUCCUUUUAGUUCUGAGGCCAUAUUCUCCAGAUAAAUAAAGUCUACAACUCAUCUUCUUGUUGAUUUUGAGUGUAUGAUCAGUGGGACAGAAACCUGCUCCUACCCAACUAACAUCAUCACUCCUUGUCAUGACCUGAAAUUGUUAAAUUCAAGUGUAUUGGUGUUCAUGUCAAAGUUGAUCAAAUCUUGUUGAGUUCUAUACAUCAAGAAUAUGAGCCCUUUUUUUUUCUUUAUUAUUAUUUUUUGUUUAAGCCAAAAAAAUAAGGGUAGUAUUUAAGAAGUAAAGAAAUAGAAAGACGAAAUUAAAUCCAGAACGCCUAAUUUUUAGAAUCUCAACUUUAGUCAUUAGACCAAUACCUGAUUGGUAUCAAACAUACUAUAACUUAAUUGUUAGUAACAUAGCUCAUUUUGUUAGUGAAAAAUGUUUGAACUGUUUUGCCUUCAUGGAAAUUUACAAUUUAAUAUUACACGUUUACACUGCAUAUAAAUUGAUGAAAAGACCUUCUAGAUUCCCACGAAUUAAUUGCUAAUACUAGGCUAGAUAGAUUUUCCCGGUCCUCCAAAGUACACAUUUAUUAUCUCUUCUUCUUUUUUUUUUUUCCUUUGGUGGUCUCCACACAUUUGUUUACCAUUUUCUAUGUUUUUUAUUUCAUGAAAAGGCUACUAUAUUCUUGGCUAAUCAAACGCCUAUGCCAGCCAGCAGCUAUGAAGCCAUAACGCAGCCGCCCUUUCUCUGCUUCAAGUCCUCCUUGUAUUAACGCUAACAUCAAGCCCUUUCAGUAUCUGUUAAAAAUCAAAUUACUUAUUCAGAAUAUAUGAGAUGGUAAAACUUUUGACCUGAUGAACUUGAUCGUCCAAGAAUUUUAUCUUUUCCUCUUUCUUGACAGACUGCUUGAUUGGAUUUUAGGAUGAGUAUUCUUAAUUUUUGCUUCGCAAUUCAAGUUCUUUCAAAAUACAAUCAAGUUUGGGAAAAUAAAAUCUACAGAAUAAAAUUAAGUACAUCAGUAGUAUGAUCGAAGUGGACUGUAUGUAUAUUUCUCGGGAGCUGAUAAGACCAUUUUCCUUGCUGUAAUAAGAAAGGAUAUUAACAAACUUACUAAAAGAUGAACCCAUAAACACUCAUUUUCACUCCCUUUCCAUCGUGCACAUGCAUGUCGAUUAUGAAUGUCUUUCAAGUUACAGUUAACUCAUUUUUUGUGUAUUUAUCAUCAGGAUGACUUCUUCGAUUUCCCUACCAACUGGUUCUAACGUUAACAUCAAGCUGACUCUCUCCUUGACAAAAUGGAUACUAGUAACAAGUGAAUUCAUAACCACCAAGAAAAAAAAAGGAAAAAAAUACACACACACACACACUCUCUCUCUCUCUCUCAAAAUUGUCCUUUUUACUUUUAUUGGAAUUUUUAAUUUUUUUUUAAGCAGGAGAAUGAUAGGAUUUAAGAAGCAAAAUGGGGUAGGAAGAUUUGCGUUCAAAAUCAUUAAUUUAUAAGGUCUCAAUUCUAAGUUCUAACUCUUAGAUCAGGGUCUUUUCGACUGCUAGUUAUUCAUUUUAUUGGAAACUGAUAUUUUUGCUAGAAAUUACGGCAUGAGAUGACAAUAAUAAAUCUUGGGUUUAGGAACAAUUGAAACCUGUCACCAAUUAGAAAAAAUUCAGGGCUCAAAGACCUAAGCCAAACAUUUGAUUUUGGCUCAGCUUUCAAAUUGGAUAGCGGUUGGUGGAUGGAAACCAAUUUUUUUUUUUUUUUACAUUUCUUCAAAAUAUGAGGGUAGCAAACAACUCAUCUGGUGCUAUUGUGAUCGAUUAAAUAAAAUUGUAGAUGAACACGUAUGAAGUUUAGCUAUCUACUUGGACAUGGUUUUCGACCUACUAGUACUGGCCAUCAUCCUGCCAACACCUGCCUACAAGAACAUAUGACUUGUUUGACGAUGAUUUGGGCGAAUUUGACUUUUCGGCUGUUGUACUUCUCUAAAUUAGGCCUUUGCAGUUUGUUGUACGGGCAAGUUGGAAAAAUUAGCAAGAAAUUUGAAGGAGACAAAUGAUGCCCACACAUCAAGAAGUGAUGAACAAAUAAACAUAAAAUUUAAAAGAAAAACGUUCAUGCUUUUAAGACCUGAAUGUUGUUAAAUGUAGAUUGGACCUAUCCAAUAAUUUUAAGCUAUAAAUAUAUCCAUAAUUCAAUUCACGAAUGCAUCGAGUUAAAUAACUACUACUAAAAUUUAACAGAAGGAGUCAAAAUUUGGAUUGCAAUUUUCUAUAAAAAAUUUUGUAUGUUUUCCGUGAACAUAUUUAUCAAUCACCAAAUAGGAAUCCAAACAAGAAAUCAACAGAAAAAAAAUGAUAAAGCGAGACUGUUUGAACAGGUGGCGGCAAAGUUUUUCCUACAUUUUAUUUAUGAUUUUUUUUUUUGGGAUUGUUUUUAGAAAAGAGACCAAGCCAUUCUUGAGUGGCAGAGGCAAGCUGAUGUAACCCAUGCGUUUCGUUUUCAAGACAUUUCUUGCUACCAAAAGAAAGGAUCUUGGCUCAGAACACAAUUAAUUCUCUUCUAAGCUUAACCCCAUCAACGAUUGUCGUGAAUUUUACCCUUGAAGUAUUACAACUAAAUUGGGUUAGGCUUUGAACAUAAAUUUAAGUUCCUUCAAAAAAAAAAAACAUAAAUUUAAGAUUUAGCAAUGAAAAGAAACAGUUAAAAGUUGAAAAUGACUUCCCCACUCACGAGACCAUACAAAAUAAGCACAAACAAGUAAAGAGUAGGAACCAACCAAAGAAAAAGAACCGAACAACACGGCUCUCUCUACACAUUCUUGGAAGUCAUCGCUCAUGCUGUGCAUUACAGCAUUUGCAAGUAACCAGAAGAUUCAUACAUAUAUUAUUUCUUUUUUUUUUUCAUUAUUCCCUUUAUUCUGCUUUCCUAUUUGCUUGGAAUAGAAUUCAAAUUUCCUGGAAAAAAAAUCAUUUGUUAACCAAUAGCUAUAUAGAAAAUUUAUUGAGUACUGUCCCAUAGGCUUUAGCAUAAAAAACCUACUAGAAAUUCGAUUAAAAUUGUGUAGGCAAGAAAUCUCUGCAUGGACCUCAGUUAGGUGACAGUGAAGUUCUUAGCUUGGAGCUCAAGCCUUCUUUUUCUUAUACUUCUAAUUUUGAGUCUCUCUUGAAAUUUUUUUUUUAAAAAAAAAAAUUCUCUCAACGAGCAUGAAAAAAUAUGAAAGAAAAAUGGGAAAUCUUAGCUAAAAUAGUACAGUGCUCCAUAAAAUUUACUCCAUCAAUACUCAACCGAGCACCAAAGCCUAUAAGACUUGGUGGGGCUAGAGAUUAAGGUAUUAAACUGGGCCCUGUUUGGAUUGCUUGUUUCCGUCAGAAAAUAUUGUCGUUUUCCGUGAUCACAUUUCCCUAUCACUUUUUUCCCUCACAUAUAUCAAAUCACUAUAGUAAUUUUUCUAUGAAAAAUGACGAAAAAUGUAAUUCAAACACAACCAAAACUUUCCAUCACUUGCUAUUAUAUGUGUUUGUCACUUUAAAAUGGUUUCAAAAUGCAUCUGUUUGGUCUGGUGAUGGUUCAGUUCCCAUUGAUUUUUUCUUAGAUUUCUUCAAGUGUCCGUUUUUCAUAGUAUAAAAUAAAUAUAGAUAUAUCGUGUCACAAAAAACAAAAUCAACCGAGUCCUAUUUACUUCGUUGGAGCUAACCUAAAGUUAAAAAAAAGGAACAGGGACAAGCAGAGCAGAAUAGGUUUUGGCGUGGCGGCGUUCUGAGUUGAAGACAAGAAGUUGUUGUUCAGAGUUGGACACGUAGAUCAUGUGCUUCAUCACUCAUUAAUUAAGCCGCCGCCUGCUCCUCAAUCAGAUUCACAUGGACGUGGACAUGGUCAUCACUUCAAUGAGCUCAUGCAUCAUGUCAUUCACGACUGCGAGGACAUGACCAGUUCACCAAUUAUACUUAGUCAUGUUGCAGAUUCAUACGUAAUUUCUAUCUCGAAUUUUACCCUACUUUCUUUGAAAAAAAUAAUUAUAAUCCACUUUUUAAUUAAAGAAUAUAAUUAAUUUUUAAUUUAUUUAAAAUAUUCUUAUUUAACGUGCUUUGUUAUUAGUGAGUAUAAUUCACCUUAUUCAACAAUUGCUUUGAUUCGUGUCUUAAAUGGUGUAACUUCCAUCGGUAGUGUAUUGUUGUUGUAAUUAAUGUAAAGAUACAACGAUUAGUUAUAUUCCUAAUAUCAAUGUAAAUGUAUUUUAGAAAAAUAGUAUGUUAGAUUUACUCUUCCAACAAAAUUAACUAUUUUUUAAAAUUAUAUAAAAAAAGAUCAAAAUUGUCAAAAUGGGACGGAGGGAGCGUUAGAUUUCCAGUGGUGCUUGAAAAAAAAAAUUAAUUUACGUUUAAACUUAUCAUGUGAACGUAAAUAAUAAUAUGUAUUAUCGCUCUAAAUACAACUAUAAUUUAUUUGACUUUUUAAAAGUUAACGCAUGAAACCUAUUUUAAGGUAGACAUGUUUUGUUAGAAAAGCUUAAUUUAUAAUAAAUUGAAAAGUUUACAAAUGAAAACGGAAAUAUUGAACGCUGCGUAAUUCGUGUUCUUCAACAUAGAUUUACGACGUCAAGGGGGCUUCGUUGUACUUUACAAAUUUAUUCCAAAGGAAAUCUAGUCGCCAAAUGUUGAUUUGAAUAAAGUUAAACAAAUCCAAUCCCUUCUCUAUAGUUGCUACUCUUUCUUGUCUUAUUUCUAAAUUAAGUUGACUUUUUCUUUUGUGACAUUUUCAAAUUGAUUUAAUUACUAUCUUAAAUAUACAAUUUUUUUUAUGUUAUAUUCUAACAUAAUGUAAAUCUUGUAGGCGAACUUUAUGCUUUUAUGAAAUGAAUUUAUGGUUACUUCAAAAAAAAGUAGAUGUAAGCUUCUAUUGACUAUAUAUUCUCAAUGAAUUUAAUUUAUGGUGAAUUUGUUGUAGUCUCAUAAGUAAACCAAAAAAAAAAAAAGGCAAUUGGAACUUAUAAACAAAAAACUUUUUUUUCCCCUUUUAAAGUUCUCAUCAUAUCAAUUCAACUUUUUUUUUUCCUUCUGGAAACAGCAACAAGUCAUGAUCUCACCGCGUGAAGAAAAACAAAAACACUACUACUAUUGAGAAGUCUACCUAGCAAGAGGCUAUGAAACUCAUCCUGGAUUUUGAUUCGAGAAAAUUGCCUAAAAUCAUAUACCCAAAUAAAAAACAGACAAGACUGCGCAAGAAUCCAGUCCCCAUUCAUAUCUUUCUACUUCUAGAAGAACACGAGCACUACCCAAUAAAUGUGCCUAAAAAUUCCUCUUUUCUUGUGAAACAAUUAACAAUCCACGUUGCCAAAUGCAGCAAAACAGACCAAAACAAACAACCCCUCAAAAUUACUCCCUCCGUCCCAUUUUGAUAGUUCUGAUUUUUUUUACACAGUUUAAGAAAAAAUAGUUAAUUUUGUUGGAACAAUCAAUUUAGAUAGCUAUUUUCCUAAAAUACCCUCACAUUAAUUAGAGUACAACUUUAUGGGAACUUGAAUUGAUGGUAAAAAAAGAAUCAACCCUCAUUAAAUGAGGUAGGUUUAUAGUAACAACAACUUACAUUGAAUAAGGGUAUUUUAGGAAAAUUAAAAUACAACUACAUUCUUCAAUUGGAAAACUUGACUACAAUUUGGAACAGACGAAAAAGGAAAACAGGACUAUCAAAGUGGGACGGAGGGAGUAUAUACGAAAUCAUUGAACUUCCAUACGAGAUUAAUUAGCACUAAUAUGGGUUUCUUUUCUUGCCAAACCAGGUAAGAAAAGUGCAUUGAACACAAACAAGAAUCACGCUCAAAAAGACUAGAAGGAAACCUGUUCUAUAGCAUGCGUUAUUAUACUAAAAUCUCCGAUCUUGUUAAAACAAUUAUUAACACAUAAUCCUAGCUUAUCAAGCUUAAAUAACAAAUGCUUGAAAUAACUUGCUGAAUGACGUACGAGUUUUUCUGCAAUAAAAUCUCUAAAGAUCUUAUUUCCUUUUUUUUUUCUGUCCCAAAAUUCAUUAAUUUGACACUACAUAUUCCAAAUAAUGGAAUGUAAAAGUCAUAUAGAUUUUUAAUUGGAAAAGUUUUGGUGCAAAUCAUGCUGUGUAUGUUAUAUCACUGAAUACGUAAGAGGUCGUGUUACAGCUUUGCCACUAAUUUUACUAGUGACAGUAAUUAGUAGGAAAAAAGAUAGCAAAGUAUUAUGGAAGUUUGACCAAUCUCACAUCUGUUCAACCUACGCGCCAUGCUGUCGCAUCUUACAGGUUCCCACCUUUGACUGAGCUUUUCUUUUUUUUUUUUUGGGAUCAAAAUUUUUGAUUAAGUAUUAAUUAAAUGUAUUUUUUUUAAAAAAAUAAAAACUAAAUCUAUUUUAUCUUCAAAAAGAAUAUUCAUUUUAUUCCCUUUUUGUCAAAAGAAAAUUCGUUUUACUCCCUUUCUCUGUCACGUUACGGCUAUGAAAAAGAGAAGAUAAAUGUGUGUAUUUCCAAUUCAAACGAAUUCACCUUUUUUUUCUCCUGCGCAAAAAGGUAACCUUUAACUACAUCUUUUUUCAGAAUUUUAAUUAAUCAUCACAUUUAUACACGCACUAACACGCCUUAAAAUACACACACAAGCAUUAAACUACUCUGUGUAUUCAUAUGUAUACAAGAUACAUGCAUGCCUGAGAUGGAGCCGUCUUUUAUUGGUCUUCUCUGCGUAUAUCUGUAUAUAACACAGAUACGCAGGGAAGACCAAUCCACCCAAAACAACCACCAAUAUCUCACGACUUUUCCCCUUUCUAGAAAUACUUCCCGCGAAAAUUUUUUUCAUCAUGAAAGUGAGAAAACAUAUAAUAUAAAGCCGAGAUCAUCAGAACCCAUCUUCCGUUAUUAUAAUGUAAAUUGAUUAUCCUUUUUUUUUUUAAUAUAAUUCUGGGAUUUUCAUGAUUGUUUUUUCCACCCUCUCCUAGCAAUCAUUUUCGUUGUUUUUAUGGUUAACUAUAGAAAUGUUUUAUUAGUACAUCAAAUAGUAGUCGAGUUUUGAAAGUUUCUUUGAGCCAAAAUGCGUGUUUACAAUCCAACGGUUGUCAAGUCAAACCCAUGAGAGAGAAACAGAGGAAACGGAGAAGGGAAGAAGAAAGAGAGAUCCAAGUCAAUGUUCAAAGCUUUUGGGCCGAGUUAAAAAUCAUCUACUAGGACAAUUCUUCCUUAUUACUGAUUCUCAACACAUUUGCCUUCUUUCUUCUGCUUCAUCUUCUUCUUAUUGCAUUCCACCCCAACACCCAUAUAUAUAUCUCUGCCAUAUAAUUUUUAAUGAUCUUUUUGUAUCCAAUUAGCUGUACAUUAGUAGACAAGGCCUUCUUUGUUUCUGAGUCAUUUUUGUUUCAAAUAUUAGAGCUUGUUUCUCGGAAAUAUUGAGGUGGGAUUGUUGGAAAAACAAGUUUGAUGAUUUCAAGGAUAUUCUUCUGAAUCCUUAAGGUUUUCUGUUUCUGUGUCUUUUUGGAUUCUUUCUUUGUUGUUGUACCUUUGUAGCUCCUGUCUGCAUAUUUUCGUAUUCUUCAUCUGGGUUGUGCUUGUUGCUUGAUUUGGGAACUUUUCAGCUAAAAAGCCUUGUCUGGGGUUCUGUUUCUUGGAUAAAUUUGUUUAUUCUUUUGGGUGGGGUGUGGGAAAUUUUUCAUUUUUGGGCCUUUUUUGGGCUCUGGCUUCUCUAUUCAAGACUGUUGUUGGCAGAAAGAGCUGCAUUUUCAGUUCAAAAUUGCAACUUUGGAAGGCUAAACCUUUUGAGAUUUUGAAGUGGAGGAGUUAUUAGUUUGACGUUGACUCCAAUGGCACCAAAAGACAGAAACAGAGAUGGUAAAAAAAAGAAGCUGCAUUUCAGCAAGAUCUACUCAUUUAGAUGUGGAAGAGGAGGUUUUAAAGAAGACCAUGGUAGUAUUGGAGGACCAGGAUUUUCAAGAGUGGUAUAUUGCAACGAACCAGCUGAUUUUGAAGCUGGUUUAAGGAAUUAUCCUGGGAAUUAUGUCAAGAGUACAAAGUAUACAGUUGCCUCUUUUUUCCCUAAAGCUUUGUUUGAGCAGUUUAGGAGAGUGGCUAAUUUUUAUUUUCUCGUUGUUGGUACAUUGGCCUUCACACCUUUAGCUCCUUAUAGCGCUGUUAGUGCUAUUAUUCCUCUAAUAAUUGUUAUUGGAGCGAGUAUGGUGAAAGAAGGUAUUGAAGACUGGCGCCGACAACAGCAGGUACUUGAUAAUUAACCUCUAUCUUGUGCUUUUCCUUAAUUUAAAUCCCUUCUACAUUUUGAACGUAAUUUGUUCGAGACAUUAACGAAUUAGCUCAUACAAGUAGAGAGACUUUUGUAGAGAAUUUUCCAAGUCAGAAAUUUUUUGUGGAAAUGUUUGGAUAUCUAGAUGUAGUAGAAGGUUCCAAUACAUCUACAACAGGGAUUUAUUGGGACAUGAAAGAAGAUGGUUAGGCAAAUUUCAGUAUUUUGGUGACCAUUAGUUGGUAAAUUUAGUGUAGUAGACAAGCUGAGAUUGCUUUUGAGAAUUAACACAUAUAAAUGGUCUGGUAUAAGCAAUUAGAUUUAUCUGCAGCAGGGACUUUUAUCUUUUUUAUCUUUUUAUCGAACAAAUUUGAGUAUUAUUAUCGGAAAUUACUUGCCUGCUCUUUAGAUUCCGUCCUCAAAAAUUCUAGUCAUAUUUCAAACUGACUGCCACCUUCAAGCUUGUCUUAUGUUGCUUGUGAAAAUAUCUAUUUCAGGAUAUGGAGGUUAACAAUAGAAAAGUUAAAGUACACCAUGGUGAUGGGCUUUUCCAAAAUACAGAAUGGAAAAAUCUCAGAGUUGGGGAUAUAGUUAAAGUGGAGAAGGAUGAAUUCUUUCCGGCAGACCUGCUUCUGCUUUCGUCCAGUUAUGAUGAUGCAGUUUGCUAUGUUGAGACCAUGAAUCUUGAUGGCGAGACGAAUCUGAAACUUAAACAGGGAUUGGAGGUAACUUCAUUCAUGAAUGAGGACGUAAACUAUAAAGAUUUUAAGGCACUUGUCAAAUGCGAAGAUCCAAAUGCUAAUUUGUACACUUUUGUUGGAAGUAUGGAAUUUGAAGAGCAACAACAUCCUCUUUCUCCUCAACAAUUACUACUUAGAGACUCAAAACUGCGAAACACAGACUAUAUUUAUGGGUCUGUUAUCUUCACUGGUCAUGAUACCAAGGUCAUUCAGAAUUCCACUGAUCCCCCAUCAAAGAGAAGCAAAAUUGAGAAGAAAAUGGAUAAGAUCAUUUACUUCUUGUUUGGUGUCUUGUUCACGAUAGCUUUUGUUGGAUCAAUUUACUUUGGCAUUGUAACGAAAAAGGACUUGGAUAAGGGACAUAAUAGAUGGUAUCUGAGACCAGACAGUGCCAAAAUUUUCUUUGAUCCCAAGAGAGCUCCUGCUGCUGCAACAUAUCACUUUUUGACAGCCCUGAUGUUGUACAGCUACUUGAUUCCAAUCUCCUUGUAUGUGUCAAUAGAAAUUGUGAAAGUUCUUCAGAGCAUGUUCAUUAAUCAAGAUAUCCACAUGUAUUAUGAGGAAACUGACAAGCCAGCGCACGCACGCACCUCAAAUUUAAAUGAAGAACUUGGUCAAGUAGAUACAAUACUUUCUGAUAAGACGGGGACAUUGACCUGCAACUCCAUGGAAUUCAUCAAGUGCUCUGUGGCUGGGACUGCUUAUGGGCGCGGUGUUACUGAGGUAGAGAGAGCGAUGGCAAAGAGAAAUGGCUCUCCUUUAAUGGUAAAUGGAAAGGAUGUUGUUGAGGAUUCCCCUAAGAGUGCCACAAAGUCAUCUAUUAAAGGCUACAAUUUUGAUGAUGAGAGGAUUGCGGACAGCAAUUGGGUGAAUGAGCUCCAUGCUGAUGUCAUACAGAAGUUCUGUCGCUUAUUGGCAGUCUGCCAUACUGCUAUACCUGAAAUGGAUGAAGAAACCGGAAAGGUUUCAUAUGAAGCUGAAUCACCCGAUGAGGCAGCUUUUGUGAUUGCUGCAAGAGAACUUGGAUUUGAAUUCUAUAGGAGGACGCAAACUACUGUUUCAGUGAAUGAGUUGGAUACAUCAUCUGGCAAGAAAAUUGAGAGGUAAGUACUUCGAUAUUUCUGUUUGCAGCACAUUUUUCCUGUAUUUGGCCUUUCUGAGACUGCUGAUUUGUUACAUCAGGAUUUUCUGAGUUGAACUGGAUGCCUCACAAAAUCCAAAUUUCGAAUAUAUGUGUCUUCCAACUAUACAGAUGCCACAAAAAAUGAAUCUUUUCAUGCUGUUGAAAAAUGAUACCUGCCUAUUGCUUUAUGUUCACCUGAAUGGGAUGUUUUUACAAAGCUUUCUCCCUUCUUGCAGGGAAUAUAAACUUCUAAAUGUUUUGGAGUUUAACAGCACUAGAAAGCGGAUGUCUGUUAUAGUAAAGGAUGAGGAAGGAAAGAUUCUAUUGCUCUCUAAAGGUGCUGACAGGUCGGUACAGUAAUUAAUGUAUUACUGCUAAUUCAUGUAAUACGUACUCCUACGUCUACUUUCAACUGUUUCAUGGAAUGCUUUUUGUUCCUUCCUCUUGCUCUGAUGCUAUCUCUUUCUUGGCCACUUUGUUACUGAUCUUUCAGCGUCAUGUUUGGAAGGCUUGGAAAAAAUGGAAGGGAAUUUGAAGAUCAAACCAGGGAACAUGUUAAUGAGUAUGCUGAUGCAGGACUUAGAACUUUGCUACUGGCUUAUCGGGUGCUCAGUGAGGAAGAGUACAAAAUAUUCAAUGAAAAAUUUCUAGAGGCCAAGAAUUUAGUCACUGCUGAUCGUGAGGCAUUGAUUGAUGAAGUGACAGAGACAAUUGAGCAAGAUUUAAUUCUUCUGGGUGCAACAGCUGUUGAGGACAAACUUCAACCUGGGGUAGGUUUUAGGUUUUAAAUGGAGGUAACUUAUCAAUUACAGCAAACAUGAAGAUAAAUGUGGAUCUGAUUAUUCUUCUUUUUUCCCCCUAUUGAUUUGUUUGUGCUAGGUUCCUGAAUGCAUUGACAAGCUUGCUCAAGCAGGCAUAAAAUUGUGGGUUCUGACUGGAGAUAAGAUGGAAACUGCAAUUAAUAUAGGGUAUGGUCAUUUGAAAAUGCUUGUGGUAUUUUUAAGUGUGAGAGGUUCUCUUGUCCUUCAUUGCUAACUCCAAAAAAUCAUAUUUUGCAGUUUUGCCUGUAGUUUGCUUAGACAAGGAAUGAAGCAGAUAAUAAUCACAUUAGAGACCCCUGAAAUCAUAGCUCUUGAAAAAGGGGAUGACAAGAAUGCUAUUGCAAAGGUAUCCACGAAUCCUGUAAACACCCAAUUUUUAAUCAUGUGUCCAUCUGGAAGAGAAAAUGAGCAGUUGAUGCUUACUGAAAACUGUAUUAUUGCAUGUCUUGAGAGACGGACAAUUUUUAUGGCAUACAACUUCCAUCGAUGAUUCUCUGUGGCAUACAACUUCCAUUCCAUGCUAAGGGCAGGUUUUGAUGGUAUUAGGUCUGAUAAUUUUUGGAGUGGAAUUGGAAAAGGAAAAGUUUCGUGGUUUUAUCGCUUCAAGCUGAAUUUCCGGCUAAGUUAUGUGUCAAAAAGUUCCUGCAUUGUGUCUGUUUCUUGUUUCUCCUUUAGAGUAUGUUGAAACAAGAAAGAAGUUUCAUUAAUUCCUUUUUCUGCGGGAAAAUUGUCUUACACUGAUACUGAAAAGUAUAUAAACAGGUAGUUUGAUGAGUUAGUUGGUGUUGACAUUUUCCAUUGGCUUAGCUUACUUUCUCGUCUUUUACUUGUCCACAUCAAUUUUCUUGUGCAUCUGCUUAUAUGACUCUUUCUUAAUAACUGUACUAUGUAGUCUAAGAAAAGUACUUUAAAUUAUUUUAUCAAUAGGCUUCAAGGCAGAGCGUCAUCCAGCAGAUUACUGAGGGAAAGGCUCAGGUUAGGUCAAGCUCUGAGGCAUUUGCUUUGAUAAUUGAUGGGAAAUCUCUUGCUUAUGCAUUAGAAGAUGAUACAAAGAAUUUAUUUCUGGAGCUUGCAAUCAGCUGUGCAUCUGUUAUUUGUUGUCGAUCAUCACCAAAGCAGAAGGCAUUGGUGAGUCUGGACCAUAUCCCAAACCCACAGGCUCCCCCUAUCUCUGAUUAUUUUCCUACUGAGGACUUAGUUUUGAUGCUAAAUGCAAUUGCUGCUGGAUAUGCAGGUUACAAGACUUGUUAAAGAUGGAACCAAGAAGACAACAUUAGCCAUUGGUGAUGGAGCGAAUGAUGUGGGAAUGCUUCAAGAAGCUGACAUCGGAAUUGGAAUUAGUGGUGUUGAAGGAAUGCAGGUACAGAAUUUACUUUUUACCUGAUUAAUUUGCAGGAAACAUCAUGCUUUUAUCAUAAUCUACCACUUCUAGCUUUCACACUUAUUUUCUUGUGCAAAUUAGGCUGUCAUGUCAAGUGAUGUUGCAAUUGCUCAGUUUCGAUUUUUGGAGCGCUUACUUCUGGUGCACGGACAUUGGUGCUACCGAAGGAUUUCUUCAAUGGUAAUGUAUCUUGGUUGUGCUCCUUUACAUAUUAUUUGCACCCUUAUUACAAUUAAAAGAAUAUUGGUUUUUAACUGAAUGCUUGCAGUUUUGGUCUUGGAUCAAUUCAUUCAAAUGUAUAAAUCAUGUUUUUGUCAUAUUGCAUCAACAUCAAACUUUCUUAAUCAUCAUUUGAUUUGGUUUAUCUAUUCUUUUUUGCAGAUAUGCUACUUCUUCUAUAAGAACGUCACAUUUGGUUUUACUGUAUUUCUAUAUGAGGCAUAUGCAUCAUUCUCUGCCCAGCCGGCAUACAAUGAUUGGUUUUUGACCCUUUACAACAUUUUCUUCACAUCACUUCCAGUCAUCGCUUUGGGAGUUUUUGAUCAGGAUGUAUCUGCUCGGUUUUGUCUGAAGGUAUGCCUUUCAUCUAAAGCUAUGUUUAUUACUGAAAUUGGCACGUUCAGCUUAUAAUAUUUAGAAUUUUAAGCUGUUAUAAAAGGAUUAUCUUUCCUAGACAUAUAAUAAGAGAACACAGGCCAAUUUAGCAAAUAACAACAAUUUGGGUGUUCUUUUCGAGUAAUGAACAUCAAUUUGGGUGUUGGUCACUAUCCAUAACAGCUGUUAGGUGAUUGCAAUUAUGCCUACUAUCUCCAAUGGAGUACAUCAUUCAUCAAUGAGAAGCCAUAAACGAUGGAAAAGUUAUAGCUUCUAAGUGAAAUUAUUGACAAUUAGAAUGUGUAGUUUAAGUAAAUACAGGAGUCUGCUUCUUUUUACGAGUCUCUAUCUCAUAAAUUUAUAUCUCAAAGGAAAUGACCAAAGAUUUUAUAUUAGACCUUACCUCUUAUUUCUAUACAAGGUUCCUUACUGAUUCAUUGGGAUUGUGUUGCAGUUCCCAAUGCUGUACCAAGAAGGUGUACAGAAUCUUCUCUUCAGCUGGCGCCGCAUUAUUGGCUGGAUGCUAAAUGGCGUUUGCAGUGCUGUUAUUAUCUUCUUUUUAUGCACUAAAGCGCUAGAUCCACAGGCCUUCAACAAGAAUGGAAAAGUUGCAGGAUUCGCGGUCUUGGGCACAACUAUGUACACUUGUGUUGUUUGGGUUGUGAAUUGCCAGAUGGCUCUCGCUGUCAGUUACUUCACCUUAAUACAACAUAUCUUUAUCUGGGGUGGAAUUGCUUUAUGGUACCUUUUCCUCCUGGCAUAUGGAGCCAUAACUCCCAAGUAUUCCUCUACUGCAUACAAGCUCUUCAUUGAAGCCCUUGCCCCUGCCCCAGCAUUCUGGAUAGUCACAAUCUUUGUGGUUAUUUCGGCGCUGAUCCCUUACUUCUGUUACAAUGCAAUUCAAAUGCGGUUCUUUCCCAUGUACCAUGGGAUGAUACAGUGGAUAAGGCGUGAGGGGCGCUCAGAUGACCCUGAAUACUGCAAUAUGGUGCGACAGAGAUCAAUACGCCCCACGACUGUGGGUUUUACUGCACGUUCUAUGGCAAGAACGAAUCCGCUGGAUGGUAGGAAGCAAAACCACAGAUAACAUAUACAGGUCCCUCUUACUUUGAGCUGCUGUAGACUCUGAACCUCUGAAUUUUGCUGUAAAUUCAGAACUGUAAACGGUGUAUAUGAUACUGCGGCUGUCGCUACUUAUUGGCCCAUGGCCAUUGACUCCCAAGAUUAGCAAGUUCAAAGAUGAAACAGCAUUCAGCUGUACCAUCUGUGGAAGUAGCAGAAACAAGCCCAGGAAGUUUGUAAAUGUUGAUAAUUAGCGAUAGAAGCUAUGAUAUAUUCAUUCGUUUUAAAUGUGUAUUUUGUAAAUUAUCGAUAUAUACAUCAUAGAAAGGCAGAGUUAUGGAUUCUUUCAUGGGGAAGGGAUAGUUUUUCCUUCCAAUCCGGCCCUCUUGUUCAUGGUUUACUCUUCUGUAAUAGCAGUUCAUAUCUUUUGAACAAUAAAGAAGUUCUAAUCUCUCAUUCGAACUCGCCACCCGUUUUUUUCUUUGGUUUCUCUCUCUAUCUCUGUCUCUCUGUGUUGACCUGUGCGUGUGUGAAAUGUUGCAAACCAGCGUUUAGCUAUGUGAUUGUAAUAUUCUGGAACCGUGUCAAAUUUCGUCUCUCCAAUCUUAAAAUUUGUAAAAACUACAUAAAUGCUGCAGUUGAUAUGGAACCGUAGUUGAUUUUAUCAGAUAUGAAGGUGAAAAUGCAAUGCAAACUAAGCAAGGUGGCAUUCUUCAAAUUUUGCUCCUAAUGAACAUCAUUCCGCCUCUUAUAACUAAUGAGACACUUGUGCUUCAAAGUUUCUUUUUCCAGCUGGUUGAACUGUCUAGAUUGGUGGUAAGGGCGUAUUAAGCUUUUGAAAUGAACAAAUACGCAGAUUUAGAUUUAGACUUCAUUAUAUGGUGCAUCAGUAGUGUGCUUUUGUUGAUACCAAUGCUAUGAUAUGUUGAACAGCCAAAAUCACAAAGCGUAUCCAUUUGAAGCAAAUGCUCAGGAACAAAAUGAAGUAACAUGUGGCUCAGGAACAAAUGCUCAAUUUGCUUCAAAGGAUUAAUCCAUUUUUGUGGACAUAGUUACAACAAUGGUACUGAGGAGCGUCCUAAGAGCCCUUGCAGGUAGCAAUAGGCCUUCUAUAAUGGUGGUUUUUAGUCUUCCAAACAAUAGCACCAGAUUCCUUGACCACUCAAAUGGAUCAAUUUUUAGGGUGACAGAAGCAUCGAGAUUGUCCGAGUCAUGUUCAUUUGCCUGAAUAUGAAGUUUCUUCGGUCCUGUUUUGAGAAGGAUGAUCAAAGAUAACUCCCUUUUGGUACAGAACCUAUCGUAUUGAGUGAUCCAAAUAUCAGCAUUCUGUUGGCAAAGUUGUAUUCAUCGUUGUCAUCUGCAUAUCAAAGUUACAUGGAUUGAAUAACAAGAAAGAAAGAAAGAGAGGAGAACAGACCUAGAUCAAGGCACGACGAACCCUGAACAUUUCGUUCCUGAACUUCCAAGUAUACUAAAAUACAUCCAUUAAAUAUCCAACGUAUACUUUAAUUUCUGCAGAAGGAAAUGUGACUAAUUAUGGACAAUAUGAACUAUCUCUGGAUACUUUCAGAAUAAAAUCCAACAACGAGCCCACAAUGGCAAAUGUUUAGAAAUUUUCCUCCUCGAGAAAAUUUCUUUCGAGUCAAAAAGAAUAAAAAGAAGAACAAUUUUCUUGAAUCAUGCACACACAUUUCACAAGCGUCUCCUGUGACCUCCAACAUAUGCUUGUUACAUAGUCAUAUAUAUAUGUACAGAUCUCGUUAAUUAUAUACAUGGAGGUUCUAAUUCGACCCCAUAUCAAAACAUACAAUAGGUAUGAAAAUGAAUGGAAAAAAAAAGAUCAAAAGUAGAAGCCAACGAGGCCUAAGCCUAAGGAAUCAUGGACAUGAUGAUACAUACAACAAUGAUAUUUUGCCAUCUUGUAUGAAUGUCCCAUUACAAGGUAAAAUUGACAAAUCAUACCACACAAUCACCAAUCCAUCGAUCACGAGACCGUUAGACCAAGAAAAUCAGAGGCAGAUUUGCCUAAAAUGUUGGCAAACUCAUUGAAGCUAAUGACCCCAUCUCCAUUUGUAUCAGCAUUACGCAUCAUUUCAGUUAGCUCUUUGUAAGUCAAGGGAUGUCCCAUUUUGGCCAUUUGGCCAGCAAAUUCAGCUGCAGUUAUGAAACCAUUGCCAUCGCGAUCGAACGAUCGAAAGACCUCCAAUAGUUGUUCUUGAUUGAUCAAAAUCUGCUCGUUCAUGUCUGGCAAAAUGGCCUCAACAAGCUCUUCAAAUUCAAUCGUACCAUUACCGUUGGCAUCCAUGUUGGCCAGUAGAUCAUGAAUUUGAUUCCCUGUUGGUUUUAGCCCGAGGGAACGCAGCAGGGCCGCGAGCUCUAGCUGCGUUAGGCUACCAUCCCUGUCCAUGUCAAAGCGAAUGAAGAUGUCCCUCAGCUGUUUAAGUUGAUCUGAUUGAAGCUUAGCCAUCCUUGGGAUGGUAGGAGGAGAAGGUACAGGAAAGAAGAAAAAGAAAAAGGGGAGUACUGAUCUUUGUCUUGUGACCAAAAUGUUGGAAAUUGUCAGUUUGUUGAAUAUGUGGGGUUGUGCUAUGGCUUUUAAAUUUAGUGAUCCAGACUAAAAGUAUGAUGUUCAACUUGUCAUUGUGUCAAAAAAAAAAAAAAAAAAAAAAACUACUAGUAAAAGAAAGCAAGAGUUAAUUGCACUGAUCUCCUUGAUGGUUGACAUAAUUGCAAAGACUUCCCAUAUGAUUGUUCAGAUUGCAAUGACUUCCCCUAUCUGUCAUCUAGAGUUAUUUCUAUCAUUCUGUACUAGAAUUUUGUAUGGUUGACCUCUUUUGUUACACUAGUUCUAGGCCUCGUUUGGCAAAUGAGUUUUUUGAACGUUUGUCUAAAAUUUUAUCGUAACCUACUGUUGAAGUUGUAAAAAAAAAUUUUAAAGUCUGUAAAUUUUUGAAUAUUUUGAAGUGUAUAGUUUAAAAAUUUUGAUGAGUUUUUUUAAAAUUAUUAUAGCUAAAAUUUUUAAAAAACUUGUAGAAGACAGAUUUGAGCAAAAAUUUAUUUGCCAAACAGGCCCCUAGUUGCACUGAAAAUGCGUACACGACCCCUAUAUGCUUUUAUUUUAUUUUAUUCAAGUUACAUUUUGUUAUAUUUUCUCGUGAUAUCAUUUCAUUAACAUUUAACCUUUUUUUCAUUUGUACUCAUUAGAAUAAUUGACUUUGAGAUAAAAUCAUAUGUUGUACGUAACAAUUGUAAUCACGAGGAGAAAAAGGAAAGAAUAUCUCAAAGAGUCUAUACAAAAUUUUUGGAAAUUUGAAGGGAAUUCGUGCAAUUUAUCCUAACCCAACAUGUUUUUGGUCCCUAGGCAUGUGUGUUGUCUGUCUUUUAAUCGUUAACCAUGUGACCAAGUCUUGGUAAACUGUCUUUUCUGUGCUCAGGAAAUUGACCUUAAAUUGCUUAUGUGAACGUGUUGGACGAUUUAUGAUUCAAUUAGUUAGCUGGAAGAUUCAAAAGUUUACCAAAUCUUGUUCCCAGUGGUUGCUUUCUUCCGAACAAGCUACUACUGCCAUUUGCUUUUCCAUUUCUUGUUUUUUAUUCACACAACAGAUGGACGCGCAAUCGGAGGUGAAUUUUCUAAUGCCGCCCCAAAAACACGCAAACGGGUAAUCUGUUAGUACCAUAAUCAAGCCACCAGUCGUAGUGUUUAACAUUGUUUGAUUAUUUUAACGAGUUAGAAAUUUUAUUCAAGUUUGAUUCAUUUAUUUGCUAAAUCGAGCUUAAAUGAGUUUUUAUAUUGAACUCGACAGUUAUCAACUAUGAAAUUCUGUUCGAGUCUGGUUUGACUAGUUGGCAAACCAAAUUGGAACAGACUGUUAUCAAAUUAAAUUCGAUUCGAAUAUCGAAUUGUUUGAUUUAUCUUUUAGUUGUAACUACCCGAGUUCGAACAAACUCUUAUCAAACCAAUCUCGAUUCGAAUAUCAAAUAGGUUGGCUCUAUUUUUCAACCAUAGCCGCCAGUCGUAUGCUAGGCAGCCAGGUUCAUUGUAAAGUUUUGCCAUAUAAAUCUAAUCACAGUAGACAAAUCAGUUUAACUUAUGCAAUUGUAGCAGCCUGAGUCUUGUUAGGGGUAGACCCUUACUGAAUCUGCACCCUUCUUUUUUGUGCGUCUCCAUUUGGUUGUUGAACUAUGGCCAAAUUGUGCUUUUGUUUAUGUGAAAUUGGCUUAGGUAUGUACCUACCAAUCAACGGGGAGUAGGGGUUGGCUUAAUAUAGACAUAACUCAUAUUAGGACACAAAAUAUAAUCGAAUUUGUACUUUGUAGCCUCAUUCUUAGAUUUCUGAUAAAAUUAACCAACUCUAGGACCCAUAAAUGGGAUUUCUAAAUUGAUGUGUUACUACUAUUCGAGUUGGUAUUCCUCUAAUCCUAUUUUAGUGGUUCUGCCAAUCAUCAAUAUAGGUAUACAGUUCAUCACAAGCUGGCAUGCGAAAUUCCUUGUAAUGUUUUCACGGAAUUCUUCCAAAAUGACUCUAAUCAAGCUCUAAAUCUACAAGAUUGUGCCGAUUGAACCCCUCAAACAUAUUGUUGCAUCUCAAAGUUGUGGCUGAAUUUGGCAUUUUCACACGGCUUAUAUUAUAGAUGGGCAAAAUCAAAGUGGAUUUGCAGUUCCAAAGGGGCCAAAAUGAAUUAAUACUGACCUCAUUAACGGCGAAAAAAUUGAGGGUAUCAUUAAUAAAUUUACUUGCGUACAACUGAUUGUACAUGCACGAGAGAUCAGUAUGAUUCAAAUCUUUUAUUAUUUUUUUUGAAGUAUUUUCGAGAGUUCAAUAUGAUUCAAAUCUCAAUCCACUACAAAGAGAUCAUCUAUUGUGGAUUAAAGCCCCUUGGAAAAGAAUGAAAGCCUGGUAAUAAUUCCUAUCAUUGCGUUUGUAUCAGAUACAAUUGCAGCUACAAUUUCUAUUAGUCUCCCUUGAUUCAUUUGCCUGCGUAUAUAGGUCCGAUGCCGUCUCAAGCAGUAGGAAUAGGAUCGUCCAUGCAUUAUUGGGCCGUACAUGAUGCGGCAUAAAGUUAUGCUGGCUAGUUGAAGAAUUGACCAUACUAUCUUCAUUGUCUCCUAUCAUCAUUGUCUAAUGGACAAUGAAGAUAAGAAAUUAUUUGACAAUGACUAACCAAAAAUUGUCGAAUUUCUUUCUAUGAUGUUGCAUUAAUACUACUGUUUUGAGAGGACAGGAAUGUGACAUUACCCACUUUAAAAGCGUUCAAAAAGAAACUGUUGAUAUGAUGCAUGACACAGACUAUUCUCACAUGUUAGAGUAAAACUGAAAGUAAGAAGAACUCAAAACUGUGGGGAUAGAUAGGGAAUAUUUUAUUUUCCCCCCUUCAAGUGAACUUGUAAUAUCCAUGCAUUGAGGGAUGCUCCAAUGUUGCCUCAUUAAAGUUAAUAAUUCAGAAAGAAGCUAAAUACAUCUACAAACAGAAGCUUAAAGCAUCAAAGACUGUCGUCUGCAGUUGAAAGAUCCAAACAUUUGACUCAAAUGAUAAUUAACAACCUCGUAAUCAAGUUCCUGGUUUCCUAAACAUGGUGGAAAGCUCCCACGAGAGACCUCUCCAUCCCAGAAUCUUCCAAAGCCAAACUCACCCCUAAGGCAAAACUCCUCCAAAACCUGCUCAACUUCAUCCAUACAACACCGAAAUUCAGGCAGUUCACUCGAGGAAAACCCUUCCAUCUUGACCCUGAAUGAACCUUCAUGGACUCUCCAGCAGUUAUCAUCAUUUCUUUUCCUUCUUUUAUGCAGGAUCUCGUCUCCUCUCUUCCUAUUUCUCAGCCUCUUCGCGUAUUUUUUCGUCUUUCUCAACAGCUUGAGCGGCAGUUUGAGCAAGAUGAAGGCAACAAUUUGCAGGAUCAAGCACUGGCAGCAACAAGAUACCACAACGCAAUCUGCUGCAACCCCGUUGAGAUCCUCCAUGCUUUGCCUAUAUGAAAGGAGAGAGGAACAAAGAUGAUCCAGAUGACCAUUGAAGGAAGUUAUUUCUGGUUGAAAAAUAAGAUCCUUUCUCCUCUUUGGAAGAGUAUAAUAAAGUGUGAAGCAAUAAGAUUAUCAUCUUGCAAAGCUUUAAAGGACACAAUUAUGAGUCAUUGACUUCAAACUGUAGCAUGUGCUCUCAAUGUAGAAUUUUGGCUUUGAUCACAGAUGUAACAGGGAUUGCGGCACAUAGCUUUCAAAGGAAACGCAAAGCUGUCUUAGCCUCAUAACUUGCAUUCUACAUUUCAGGGAUUCCUGGAGUACUUUUCGUGGAUUACUUGAAGCCUUCUCAUCCCUGUCCAGAAUACUUGUCUUUGAAAGAAAGAGAUCCUUUAUAUAGCCAAACCCUCUGUAAAACUUUUCCUUAGAUGUAAAACUUUUAACCAAAAAGGAAAAGCAACAGUAGGCAUUACAAUUAUUGACAGGGAAUAACCAUGUUCAUGAUACUGUAGACUUUCAUGUCCAGACCAGUAGAUACCAGCCCCACAUUCUUUCACGUCUCAAAUUUCCACCAUGCAUCUCCUUGGAUGCACUCUUGAGCAGAUAUUUGGCUUGUCGAUUCAAAAAUUAUAGUAUCAGUUUAUUCAUAAUUCCGUGGAGGUAUUCACCUAUUGAAAAUAACCCAACUCUUGGGAUUUAUUUCUCUCAAGUAUGGGGGGCAAAAGGGUCGCAAUCUGGUAAGACUGAGCAAACACCAAAACUGUAGUUUGUCAACAAAACAUGAGUCCCUUGAUUCCAACAAAAUUAGUAGCCAAAGAGCAUUCAUGAGUUUGAGCUGCUUGACUCAUGAAUGUGAUUCUGAAAUGAGUUUGAGCUCCAAAACAUUUACCUCAAUGUAAGAUCCGGACAAAAACGUAUUUGACACCAGAUAUGCAAGUACCUUCCGUACUUACAUGCAGGUUAAUCAUUCUGUCACACAGGAUAAAAGUACAAUCUAGAAUGCACCAAGGAUAAUACACGUAUAAAUAAUCAUGGGAAAUUUUCAUGCAAAUUAUUAGGAGACAGUAUACCAGAAAGGUAAAAAAAAACCUCAAUGAAUUUCAUUGAAUCAAAAUCUUACUUACAGGAAAAAAUAUGAUAAAAAGAAUGGGAUGAAUAUUACAUACUCAUAUAAGCAAAAGCCAAAACUGGUCCUAUUUACAAUAUCUAACCGAGGGUUUGUAGUACACAAUCCAAUCGAGAACAGCAGAGUCUGAGGGUGAAUAAACAUACCAAAGAAUAGUAGUCUUUGCGUUUACAUUAUGAGAAUCUUGGCUUUGCUAACCCAACCGGAUUGUUAAGGUAUUGAUCUUUACCUACUUUCACCGUUCUCCGCUAAACUAUAACCACCUUGACUGAAAAAGUCGGUACUGUAAUCUUGACUACCAAAUGCCAUCCUUCUAAACAAUCUUAUUUCUUCAGAUUGCUGCGCAGAGUUGAAUAUUUGACUUUCACCAACUCUCAUUCCAUUUGUCAAAUCUGAGGUAGCCAUGCUGUCAAAAGCUCUCACAACCUGUGCCAUAUGGAAUAGAAGGAACAUUAAACUCCACUCCAGAUGAAUGACUUAGUAAGUAGUAGAAGAACCUUGAACUAAAUGUAUCUUAAAAUGUAUAUACCUGUCCCAUCUGUGGUCUCUUCGCAGAUGAAUGUCUUACACAAGCUGCAGCAACUUCAAUUAAUCGAAACAUUUCACUAUCAACAUAAUUCUUCUCAAGCCUAGGAUCCACCAACUCAUCAAAUUGCUCUGAUUCAAGUGCAUAACUAAACAAAGGGCGAGCCUGACAGAAAAUUUGAUCAUGUAAGCAAAGGUGAUUUUACUAACUAAUUGCUUGGUAUCAUGUCAAGAAAAGGGAAUCAAAUGAAGAAAUUCAUAACAGAGAUGCUGAAAGAGUAACACCCUCAGAAUCAAGAAGGAAAAAUUGCAGUGGUCCAGUUAGUAGGCCAUCUGAACAUUUACAUCUUUGGGGAGAAGCUGAAGUCAAUACUACAGUGUUCCUAAAUUCUAGAAUUAUGGUUGGAAGUGUAAUAGGAAAAGGUACACAAGUAAAAACAGGAAUUCACUUUAAACAUGGAAAGAAUAGCCAAAGAACCCUUGAGAAUUUCAAGGCAUGGAUGCAUAAGAUACAAUCUGCUAAUACAGGUAUAACCUCUAGGAAUGAACCAUAGAUGAUGCUCCUGCAAAAUUUCUAGUUAUCCUGGUUCAUUUUUCUCUCUGAAACAGAGAGGAUUCUGGGCAGAAAUACUCUACUUUGUGCAGGCAUAUAUAAAAGAAAUGGCCCAGCAGAUGUCCAAAUAAGAUUAAUUCUUCAUUGGACGUGUGAAAAAGGGGAAUGAUCUGUCUUUUGCAAGGGACAGACACAAGGACCUAAUAACCUGCAAUCAGAUGAGACUCCAAGGCAAAAUCCCAAAGAAGACACCCCUAAGGAAAGGCAAAAUUAGACAACUUCCGCAGAGAACAGAUUGCGUUUUCAAAUUUAGCAUUUAGUUAAAUUAAAAUUUCUCAUAGAGCAAUCUGCUCUCCAAUAGCAAGGAUACAACUACGGCAUUUCUUUUGUUGACCAUUGCUAUGCCUUUUUUUGGAUGCUAGCUUUAAAAACAUAGGUCUAUCUUUACUAUGGCAAGUAACAACCAUCAUGACAAUCUGCUUUUAGUUAAUGAACUCAGGACAAACCAUCAUGACAAUCUACUUUUAGUUAAUGAACUCAGGACAGCAGGUCUGAGUCUGCAGCUCAAGGUUUUCUCUGUCAGCCACAAUGCUGGGGCUUUAUAAUUGUAGUAGAACUUUCAUGUUUGUUACCACCAGAACCAUGCAAGAAAUACUACGCAGGGCCUAUGUCAAACCCAGGCAUCGAGGGAAAACAAUUAAGGCUUCUUGCAGAGCACUAACAAGAGAAUGCAAUUGACAGGAAGGGGCAAGGACAAGGCAUGCUGUAUGAAAAUUGGCCAGUGGACCUUAUUCGAAGCCAGUGCUACUAGAAAACACAGAUUGGUCAUCAAAUGCUACUGAACUUGGAUGCUUGCACAAAAUGCUGACUUCAGUCAUACUUAUUGGAACUUCAAACCCUAAAUCAAAACUUUAGCACAACUUGCUGAUAGUAUCUGACCCAAAGUCUUAUGGAUUCCCCAUACUAUCCAAAUACAUCCAACUUGGCUCAAAGAUUUAGACAAUAAUCCCAAGCCCAAGAUCUGACUUCCUUGUUGAGCCACAUAGUAGGCCUAAUUUCACCUUGGGGAGCAAUGACAGGGGCUCAUCAGACCCACUAAGAUUCUAAUAUUUCCUGGCCAUCAACUGAAAUGCAGUUUUUAGAAAAUUUUCAACUUUAACAUUUGCAGAUCUUGUACUUGUAUUUCUACUUGUCUUACAAUUCUCUGUAAGUGUCUCCUGUACAACACAUCAACAACUACAGCCUAUGUGUCUCCUGUGCAAGACAUCAACAACACAUCAACAAGGAACUAGCCAACAAACUUACCCACUCAACUAAGCUCUCCUCGCCAAGUGGCUGGGAUGCAUCUACAGGCUUACGCCCAGUAAUUAGCUCCAGAAGUACAACUCCGAAGGAAAACACAUCAGACUUUUCAGUCAAUUUGCCACUUGAAGCAUAUUCAGGAGCCAUGUAUCUGUUUUCAACCCAGGAGAAAUAUGAGAAUUAAAAAAAAAAACAUAUAUUCAGAAGCUGCCAACUAGAAAAGAAAAGACUAUCUUUCACAUGAAACCAAUGCCUACCCAAAGGUUCCCAUAACACGUGUAGUGACAUGAGUAUUGGCAUCUUGACAUAAUUUAGCUAGUCCAAAAUCAGAAACCUGUAAGCAAGACAUUGUGUUGAUAUUCUCAAUAUCUCAAACAAGAAUGUACUAGCAACUUGUAAAAAGCAAAGCAUACCCGAGCUUCAAAAUUGUUAUCUAAUAGAAUAUUUGAUGACUUUAUAUCCCUGUGGAUAAUUCGAGGAUGGCCUGCCAUGUAAACCAAAAACAUUCAAUGGCAUGGUGAAAUUAAAUUAAAAUUUCAGAAAUCAACAAUUAUACAUUAUACUUCAAGAUGAGACUCGAUACUCCUCAAAACAGAAUUUGACAUAAUAUGGCUUGGCUACAAACUAAAGUACAAGAAAAAGAACUAUGCAAGCAGAACUUCAUCUAUGAAACCCCAGAAGGAAUGGUCAAGCUACUCAUGUUGGAAAAAGAAAAAUGAAAACUGCAGCUUCUGAUCUAUUAAAAGAAUUGCACCUUCCCUGCUCCACCAAUUUCAUCUUUUGGAAAGUGGACAGAACAUAAUCAUAGGAAGGCAACUUUUUCUUGAAAAGGAUAAAGGAAAUGGUUCACCUUAUAUAGGAAAUAAUUUCUUUUGCAAACCAAUGGCUUUAUCCGACUAUCCUAAAUCUUUAUUUCUACUUGAAAUGUGAUGCAAAUAUCUAAAGAUACCCAACCAAGCAAGUGAUCAAAGUUCUGUUGUGAUAGGGGACCAAAAGAUAGAUAGAUCCAUAGAGCAGAAAACAAAUGAGAAGAAGCAUUGCAUAAUUUUUAGACAAGAGAAGAUGGGAGACAGUCAAGCAAAUGAAUAACAAGACAAUAAAGUCAAUUACAGUCUUCAUGGAGAUAAGCUAUUCCACGAGCUGCACCAAUAGCAAUCUUGACACGCAUUGUCCAAUCCAUAACAGGUCUACCCUCACCUGAAAACAUGCAAGGACAAUGAACACUUAUGCCACUGAGUAUCAGCAUUGCAUUUUAUUCUGACCACAAUAUGUAACAUUUACCAUGAAGGUGGAAAUAAAGGGUGUUGUUAGGGACGUAAUCAUAAACUAGCAGCCUUCUACUGUCAGAAAUGCAAUAACCCACAAGUGAAACUAAAUGCCGAUGAUGAAUACGACUAAUAAUUUCAACUUCAGCUCUAAAUUCCCUCUCCCCUUGACCUCCACCAAUGUUUAGCUGCUUUACCGCCACCUCUCUUCCGUCCACCAAGUGACCUUUAUAUACAGAACCAAAUCCACCUUCACCCAACAGAUUAUGAGGUGAAAAUCCAUUUGUUGCCUCCAUUAACUCUUCAUAAGUGAACCAUGACCUUGAAUUGCCUAAUCCUCCAGGUUCUGUUGGUGAAUGAACAAAAUUGUUGCCAGAGCCAGUUCUGGUAUCAGCUGCAGACUUCUCCAGCUCCAACAAGGCAGACUCUGGACACAAAUUACAGAUUUUAUCAAAGAUCACCAAACUUUUAUACACCGUUUGACAAGUCAAAAAUUUCAUAGACCAACUAGAACCGAGGUAAAGGAGGUAAGACCGAAUGCCAAUGAAAUAAAAGAUGACAAAUGCAAAACUCACCUGAUUUUGGAGAAGACCCAAAGGAAGUUGGUAAAAUAUAGCCCCCAUUGGGUCCAGAAGCCUUUUUCUUACGCUUCCAUACGCACCAGGCUGCUGUACCAAUCAAACCGAGCAAUAUGACACCAAAAAUCAAACCAAUAGCUACUGUCCCUCCUGUUCCAAGUCCGCCCUUACCUGUUGAUCCUGCACUCUCUGAUGCAUUUGUUCCCGCCCUGUUGGGAGUAGGAUCACUAGGAGAAGGCGUUAAUGGUGAUGCACCAGGAGGAGGUGGAGAUAACCGAAUUGUUGGGGGUGGCGACAAUGCUCCUGGUGGAGAACUGGAGGGUGGGGGAGAUCCUGGAGGAGAACCAGAUGGAGGGGUAAGGACAGGGGGGGGAGGGGAGUUACUUGGGGGAGUUGACACUGGUGGGGGAGGUGAGUUACUGGGAGGAGGUGGCGGUGAAUUUCGUGGAGGUUUAGAUGCUGGAGGUGGAGGCGAAUUCUGCGGUGGCUUUGAUGACGGUGGGGGAGGAGAAUUCUGCGGUGGCUUUGAUGCUGGUGGGGGAGGUGAAUUCCUAGGUGGCUGGCUAGAUGGUGGUGGUGGUGAACUCCCAGGUGGUUUUGAAGCUGGAGGAGGUGGUGGAGGGGAACUUGUAGGAGGAUUGGCGGAUGGUGGAGGAGGUGAACUGGUUGGAGGAUUACUUGACGGAGGUGGUGGUGAACUCUGUGGUGGUAUGGAUACUGGAGGAGGUGGUGAACUAGACUGUGGAGGGGGUGUAGUAGCUUGUGGAGGUGGUGGUGAACUCUGUGGUGGUACGGAUGCUGGAGGAGGGGGUGAACUAGACUGUGGAGGGGGUGAAGUAGCUUGUGGAGGUGGGGAUGCAGACGAUGGAGGUGGUGAUGAGGUUGCAGGUGGAUUUGAUGACGGUGGAGGAGGACUAGAGGCUGGAGGCGGAGCUGUAGAUUGGGGAGGUGUAGAUGAUGAAGUAGGAGGUGGGGAAGCCAUAGGAGGUUGCUGUGUCGGAGAAGGUG
rnacentral:lncRNA from 1 species